rnacentral:rRNA from 1 species
AGCUUGCUCUCGGGUGACGAGUGGCGGACGGGUGAGUAAUGUCUGGGAAACUGCCCGAUGGAGGGGGAUAACUACUGGAAACGGUAGCUAAUACCGCAUAACGUCGCAAGACCAAAGAGGGGGACCUUCGGGCCUCUUGCCAUCGGAUGUGCCCAGAUGGGAUUAGCUUGUAGGUGAGGUAACGGCUCACCUAGGCGACGAUCCCUAGCUGGUCUGAGAGGAUGACCAGCCACACUGGAACUGAGACACGGUCCAGACUCCUACGGGAGGCAGCAGUGGGGAAUAUUGCACAAUGGGCGCAAGCCUGAUGCAGCCAUGCCGCGUGUAUGAAGAAGGCCUUCGGGUUGUAAAGUACUUUCAGCGGGGAGGAAGGGAGUGAGGUUAAUAACCUUAUUCAUUGACGUUACCCGCAGAAGAAGCACCGGCUAACUCCGUGCCAGCAGCCGCGGUAAUACGGAGGGUGCAAGCGUUAAUCGGAAUUACUGGGCGUAAAGCGCACGCAGGCGGUCUGUCAAGUCGGAUGUGAAAUCCCCGGGCUCAACCUGGGAACUGCAUUCGAAACUGGCAGGCUGGAGUCUUGUAGAGGGGGGUAGAAUUCCAGGUGUAGCGGUGAAAUGCGUAGAGAUCUGGAGGAAUACCGGUGGCGAAGGCGGCCCCUGGACAAAGACUGACGCUCAGGUGCGAAAGCGUGGGGAGCAAACAGGAUUAGAUACCUGGUAGUCCACGCUGUAAACGAUGUCGACUUGGAGGUUGUUCCCUUGAGGAGUGGCUUCCGGAGCUACGCGUUAAGUCGACCGCCUGGGGAGUACGCCGCAAGUAA